ensembl:lncRNA novel transcript
GGCGGUGAACAGAACCCUCACCCCGUCCUGUCUCGGGGUGCCUCUCCUGAAGCACAGAGUCCCCUCUGGGCCUUCGUUUCCCCAGCUUUCCUGCCGCGGGGCACACAGAGUCUAGGCUCAGUCAGAAGCCCCGGCGCCACCUGAAUGGGAGCCUGGGGAACCCUGUAUGGUCCUCCCUGAACAGGACAGUGGGGAUGGGGCAGGGCCAGGGAAGCAGAGAAGGGCACACCCUGUGAGGGACACCACACGCAACCAUGCAGCCUGGGAUGGGCACUGUGGUGCUCUCGUCGCCAGGCCCCCAUGUCUGCCCUCGCAGUCAACCUUGGUCCCUGGGGGAUCGCCUGCAAUCCCACGACGCCUGGGCAGCAUAACUGUCAUUUAUCACAUGGUCAUCGCCGGAGACGCCGAGCGGAGCCCCCAAACAUCCUGCACCUUUGAUGUUCACGCGGACUCUGUGAGGCAGGUGCUGUUCUCAUCCCGUUUUACAGACGAGGAACCUGAGACGCAACUGCAGGCCCCGCAGCAGCCGGUACUUGGCUGUCCUAACCCAUCCGCUCUGGUGCAGACAAAGUGGAUAUCUGUCUAACAUGCAAAAGGAGGGUUCUGAAACACCCUACCUGCCAGGAAGGUUUCUAGAGAGGAGCCGGCCCACUCCACCCCAAGCUGGCCACUCCGCUCACGGGGCCUCAGGCCUCAUCCCCGCCACCUGGUGCCCUGUGCCCAGCCUGAUCGUUGUUGGUCUUACCCACUGAUUCUUUUAGAUGGAAGCGGGAUCUUGCUGUGCUGCCCAGGCUGGUCUCGAACCCCUGGGCUCAAGCAAUCCUUCUUCCAGGACUUCCCAAAGUGCUGGGAUUACAGGCGUGAGCCACCGUGCCCAGUCAGAACUAACUACUUUAAAAUAUCAGGGUGGGUGCCAUGGCUCAUGCCUGUAAUCCCAGCACUUUGGGAGGCCAAGGCA